UACGUAGGUGGCAAGCGUUGUCCGGAAUUAUUGGGCGUAAAGCGCGCGCAGGCGGUUCUUUAAGUCUGAUGUGAAAGCCCACGGCUCAACCGUGGAGGGUCAUUGGAAACUGGAGAACUUGAGUACAGAAGAGGAAAGCGGAAUUCCACGUGUAGCGGUGAAAUGCGUAGAGAUGUGGAGGAACACCAGUGGCGAAGGCGGCUUUCUGGACGGUGACUGACGCUGAGACGCGAAAGCGUGGGGAGCAAACAGG
rnacentral:rRNA from 1 species